GCACUGUUGACGAGUCCCACAAUAGAACGAAACGACCGUUCAGUAC
rfam:Schistosoma haematobium scaffold756_2, whole genome shotgun sequence.